CGGACUGUAAGCAAUUGUUCAUGAGAUCUUUCUCUCGGAGAACAAUUUACUGUACAAAUUGUCAGCGGUCCACACAUCUCAUUCCAAGAAUAGAUGUCAAUUUGAAGUCACUGUUAGAGACAAUAGCGGUUCUGCAACAACUAUUAUUUCUGACAAACCUGCAGAAAAAAUGUUAUUCCUCAACUCAGAAGAAAUUUAAGACAUCUACCAUGUCAAGAAACAACUUUUACCCCUUGCAGAUGUGCAAAAGCAAUUGCGCGGAAAAACAUUCAAAAUUCAAAUGAAAAAAUUGUUUACAAGAAGUCAGGAUGCAAUGCAGAAGUUAUCCAUUUUAUCUUACAUGAACAAGGAAAAUGAGAUCCACCAACAGUUUACCCCAACCAUGAUGAAUGUUGUCAAAGAGAGCAAACGUAAAAUUGAACGUCUUGGCUUAGAGGGAAGAGAAGCUCAAGAUACAACCAAGCAUAGCUUGAAAAUGAAAACUCCUCAUUUGAAAAAAUAAUUUUAAAGUUGAAGCCACUUUUUGCUGCUAUUUUUGGAUGCGAUAAAAGUUAUCUUGUUACUAUUUUGGGAUGCGGUUGAAGGCAUUUUGCUGCUGUUUUUGGAUGUUGCUAAAGCCAGUUUUGCUGUUGUGAUAUUAGGCCCAAUUACAACUAUAUGUGCAAAGAUAGACAAUAUUUAAAAAGAUGUCAAUGCAAAUAGUUUUGUUGCACUGCAAAGGAGAAGAACAAUUAUAAUAUGGAGAAAAAAUCAUCUUUUAUGAAUAAAUUGUACUUAAAUGGAUGUAAAAUUUGUGCCACUUUCGUAGUAAAAUGCAUCUCAUUUUGUCAAAUAUGUAAAUAGAU